UGUGUAUGCAUAUGUAUAUUUGUAUGUGUGUAUAUGUGUACACACACACACACACACACACACACACACACACACACAC
rnacentral:miRNA from 1 species